AACCCUAGAGGACAAAGUCUCUCUGUGCAGCUCUGACUGGCCUGACACCUGUUAUGUAGCCCAAGCUGCCUUUGAACUCACAGAGAGCUGUCUGCCUCAGCCUCUCAAUGCUGGGAUUGAAGGCGCACACCAUCAUUUUCCAACCUUCUCUCAAACUCUUACCCUUCCUGUUCUGGAAUUACAGGCAAACCUGAUGCUGAGUCCUCUGUUGCUCCCACCCCACCCCUCCUGUCUCUAUCUUAAAAGAGAAGGAACUUUCAGCCUCCCAGUCUGCUCCUGGGUUUCUUGUUUCUACUUUCUUCGGCCCCUUUGAGUCUGUGAAAGAAACCAAUACCGACCUCAUUGGAAUGCUCACUCUGUUUUGUGAAAUGAACUAUGGCCCAGUUUUACAAUCAGAAGAUAAAGCCAAUUAAAACCCUUAAACUAAA